GGCAUUAGGCAUUGAGAAGUUAAUGCUUCAAUGAUUCUUUGUCUGCUACAAUUAGCUGCAAUAUGAUGAUUAUGCUUUGUGCCACUCAUAAUUUACUUCCAGCCUCCAAUAUUUAUUUUAGAAUCUGAAUUUACUUUUUCAUAUGCUAUGCUUUGAGAGUGAAGACCCACUUUGGAUUGAAAUUUUGUGUAGACAACUUUCUGCUUCUCAAUUAUAUAAAUUUUUGCCGCCUUUUCAGCUGGGACACAUAACAAACUUUUGAAUGCAAUUAUGGUGUGAAAUGGCAAUUCGUAUAAUUUUUUGGAGGAUUGAAUUGGACAUUUUGGCUACAAUUGCAAAACUGCCUUUAGAUUGAUUUUUUAGCAUCUUUUUUUCCCCUUUAGAAUUGAUUUUGUCUGCGUGUCCUCACUUUAAGUGUGUAGGGAUAAUAAGGGUAAAGUAAUUCCUUUAGAAUUUAAUAAAUUCUUUCUUUUAAUUUAAUUUUUACGUUACCCACAGGUGUUGGUUGUUGAAGAUAACA
rnacentral:misc_RNA from 1 species